UUGUUGCAUUGUUUAGGACAGCCGCAGCUGAGCAGGAAGCCCUGAUGGAGAACUCUGGUCUGGCUCCAGUUGGUCUGGGAAAGCUGCAUACACCCUGUUUGUUCAGCGAGCAUUCAUACGGUGUUUGCUUCCUGCCUUUCUAGAAUCCAUCUGCACUUGUGGGAAUGGGCAUGACAGUUCUGGUUCAGAAAUAAAACUGAUGCUUUACUGUCCCAUUUGCUGUGGAACCUUCCAUAGACUUGUGAGGUGUCACCGAGUGUGGUGAUGAUGCCCCACUAGGUGACAACUUACACGCACGCAAUUCCCCAGUUCUCUCAGGCAUUCCCAGGGAGCACUUUAACCUUUGUCCUCCUACUAGGCACUGAACCUGGGACCUCAAGCGUGUUGGUCAUGCACACUACCACUGAACUACACUUCCCAGGAGUGCACUUUAGCUUUUGACCUUUCUUGUGGGCUCAAUGGCCAGUUUAGGGAGUGGAGUGUGACAAUCUUAACUUAUACUGCAUUUUCUGGGACAGGAGGGACAGCUUUUAGUACGUUUGGGAAUCAGGAAAUAUGAAUCUUUCUUUUCGAGACUUCUGGCUGUUCUUGGUCUCUUGCAUUUCUAUAUGAACUUUAGAGUUGUAUCAUUUUUUUUCUUUUUAAAUUUAAUUUAUGUUGGGGGGAUUAUCCUUGGGAACUGGUUCUCUUUCCACUGUGGGAUUGUUAGACCCCCGGAAAACUCAGGUAUCCGGGGUCCCAGGCCAAGACCACAGUCACCCCAAUCACCAGGCGGAUUCGAGAGCUUGCUGCAAACUGCAUGAGGCUUUAUUGGUUUUUUUAACAAGCUAACCCUAUGUUAGCUCGGGGUCUUUCACCCAUCCACCAUGGCAGAUGGCUAGCAAAGACAGCUCCUAGGGGCUCCCGAGAGAUCUUGUAGGACAGCGUAAGGGGAGAGUCUAGGAGUACGCACAGGCUCACGAUUGGUGUGCCUCCAGGCUUGGAGGGCUUGCCCUGUGUUGAUUGGUCAACCACCCAUAGGUCCUCCCAGGGUGGUUGCUAUGCUCUGUGCGUCAUUGCUGUGUGCAAUGUCCGUAAAGUACACCCAGGGUCGUAAAGCAUAGCGCCACCAGCUAACUUCUGAUUGAUUCCUUGUCAUGAGGCAGGCAUCUGACUUUCUAGUUUCUAGGACAAGGUCAGACAAGCACGUGUUCGGCUGUUAUGGCUGCCGAAAGGGGAGCUGGUCCCUUUCAGGAUCUUGAUGUGGAACUCAGGUUGUCAAGCCCUCAAGGCAAGCCCUUAUACACAUGGAGCAGUUGCAUUGGCCUAAUGUAUCAUUUUCUCUUCAUGAAAAACAACUGGAAUUUUUAUUUGCUAAAAAAUUUUUUUUUACAGUGUCAAACUAGCCUAGGAUGGAUUUAAAGUCCAGGCUAGUGUUGAACUUAGUUCUCACUCUUGACUCAGCCUCAGGCAUGUUGGGGUUACAGGAAUGCACUACCACAUACAAAUGCUGGUAGUUAAAAUUUUGGCAUGGUAUGGAUCUCACCAAAUCUAUACAUCAAUUAAGAUAUUAUCACCAUCUUAACAGUGGUAAGCAUUCCAACCCAUGAACAUGGACCAUCUUUUCAUUUGCUUCUUAGGACAGAGAUUCCUACCUUUCCAUGUGCACUUUGGUUUAAUUUAUUCCUAUGUCUUUGUUUUUUUCUUUCUUUGUUUUCUCUGUGUGUCCCUGGAGCUCACUUUGUAGACCAGGAUAACCUCCAACUUAAAGAUCUGCCUGCCUCUGCUGAUGCUAUUGUAAGUGGAAUUCCCACCCUACCCCCCCCCCCUUUUUUUAAGACAAGGUUUCACUGUGUGGCCGUGACUAUCCUGGAACUCACUAUGUUGACCAAGCUGGCCUUUAACUCUUGGGGACUCACCUGCCUCUGACUCUCAAGUGCAGGUUUUAAAGGUGUGUGCCAUCACACCCAGCUGGUAUUGUUCUCUUGAUUUUGUUUUAAGAGUGAUCCUUGCUAUCACAUGGUAAUCCUGAUUGUUAUCUAGCCUUGCUGAAUUCACCUCAUUGGCUCUCACAGCUUUGAAAGGGUUCUGGGGGUUUUUCUGUUGUUGUCACAAUAUCUACAGUUUCCAAUCUAGACACUUUCUAAUUCUUUCUCUUGCUUAAUUGCCCCUGUUGGGACUUCCAUUACAAUGUCAAAUGUAAGUGGCUAGUGCAACAUCCUCUUCUUAUUCCUGGCUCAGCGGGAAGUUUCCACUCUUUCACCAUUAGUAUGAUGCUGGUGGUGGCUCUCUCCAGGCUGGGGGAUCUUGUAUUCCUAGAUGUAUGGCAGUUUUUAUCAUGACGGAGUAUUAGUUCCUAACAAUGUGUUUUCAUGAACAGAUGGGAAGGCUUUAUGGUGAGUCCAGUUGCACUGCCUGUGUCGGGAAACAUAUUUUGCUGAUGCCGGUCUCUAAGUCUCUUCCAAGGUACUAAUCAAGUUGAAGACACAGAAGUGCUUGCUAAUGGCUUUUAAACAGCUCCUCAAUAGAUGUACAUGGUUUCCGAGUCUAUUCAGCUGACUCUUCAUUAACCCAAGUUAAUUUGAGUUUGUGUUCACUUGGCCUAAAGACAGAGAUAACUUGGCCGUAGAAGAUACAAGAUGGUUUGUUCUUAUUGGUUGGUUUCUUCAGAUGCUUUUUUUAUUAGCUGACCUUGGAUUCUCAGAAUCAGACAAGUUGGGUACCUCUGUCACCCUGAAAGGUCAGUGGUAAUGAGAAUUAACCCCCCCCAUCUCUUAUGUGUCUGUCUGACUCUCUCUUUUCUUUCCUCUGUCUGUCUCCCAUCUCUUUCUCCCUCUCUCCAGAGGAAACGCUGAGAAUUGAGCUUCCUAGUAGAACUGAAGUCUGUAUCUGUAUAUUUUUACAAAGGAAACAUGUUUCUGAGUUCUAAGUGGUGGUGGUGAGGGUCUCAAAAAUAAGACUUAAUAGUUAACCUGCCUUGGGUGAGGGGAUUGCAUUAGAAAAAAAAUUAAGCUGAAAGUAGGUACGGAUACCUGGGUAAUUUUUUCUUUAGUUCUGAGUAGGAACAUUUUCUUCAUGGGUGUUGCCUCUAUAUGUGAUUGUUUAAAUGCUAUCAUCCCAACACUUAAAAGACCACGGCAGGAGGAUUUCAAAAACAACCUGGUCUACAUAGUCAGGCUUUGUCUGAAGCCAUGAAAAGUGUAGGUGUACUCUUUUGCCUGUGAGGUACACAAAGAUGACUGUUGGUGGGGGUGGGGGUGUCUUUGCAGAUACUGUCUGAAAAGCCCUCUACCUGCUUGAGUCUGGAGAUCCUUUCUAGGGAGAUGGCUCGGUGGUUAAGAGGAUACACUUCUCUUGCAGAGGACCCAAGUUCAAUUCCCAGCACCCCACAUCAGGUGGCUCACAACCACCUGUAACUCCAGCCCCAGGGGAUCCAAUGGGCUCUCUGGCUUCUGCGGGCGCCUUCACUCAUAUUCAGUCCCACCCCCAUAAUUAAUUUUUUUACCUUAAAAGUGGAUAAAAGUCUGAGCCGGACGUUGGUGGCACAUGCCUUUAAUCCCAGCACUCAGGAGGCAGAGGCAGGCAGACCUCUGUGAGUUCGAGGCCAGCCUGGUCUACAAGAGCUAGUUCCAGGACAGCCUCCAAAGCCACAGAGAAACCCUGUCUCGAAAAAAACAAACAAACAAAAAAAGAUAAAAGUCUGUUAGUUGGCUUGAGGCUCUUUUCCGUAAGUGCUGAGUCUAGAUUUUUAAAUGUAGUUUAUCAUCAUGAAUGCAGUCAUCCUGAAAUCCCUUCAGGAAGGAAGUGACGGAAAGGUUUGCUAUGAUCUGUCAAUAGCAGAUUCAAAUGUUGGAAGACCGCUUGUAGGUAUUCCAGUGUGACAGACUUCUAAUGGGUAGACCCCACAGGCAUUUUUCAUGAGUAAUACAGCUAAUCUGGCAUUUGAAAGCUUAACAUUUCUCUAAUUUCAUACAAAUUCCCCGAAGAUCUUUGGCUGAUGGUUAUAUUUUUAAUAAUUUAUUUUUGAGAUAGGGUUUCUCUGUGUUGCCCUGACUAUCCGGGAACUUGCUUUGUAGACCAGUCUUAAUAAAUCUUAUGAAUGUGCUGAACAAAUGUUACCACUCUUCAGUGCAGGCUAGCAGACCUAAUGGAGCUUUGAACCUAGAUUUGGGUCACACUGGUAUGAAAUAUAUUUGUAAAAAUGUUUUGUGGAAAAAGCUCUCAAAGAGAGAGAUACUUUGCCCUAACUGUAUGAUAAAUGUAUUCAGUAUGAUGCAUAACAAUUGUUCAUGAGACCAGUAGGAUCCCCAAUUCUUAGUUACCAAGUGCUUGAAUAAUGGCUACAAUUCCUAACAUAUGCAGAGUAAUGCAAAUUAUAGCAACUUUUUAAAAUUAAAAACAAUGUACUGAUGUUUUAUUACUUUUGUUUAGUGUUUGUAAGUAUUCUAAAAGCAAAUCUCUGGCCCUAGUUAUUAAUCUAAUAAAAUUCAUUUAGAGAAAGGUUCUAGCCAAGAGUCUUAGGAAUAUAUCUUUUGGGGGCUGGAGAGAUGGCUGCAGUUAAGAGCACUGGUUUCUCUUCCAGAGGACCCGGGUCUGAUUCUCAGCAUCCAUAUGGCUACUCACAGUUCUCUGUAACUCCAGUUCCAGGGGACCCAACAUCCUCUUCUGAGGACUGAACACACAUAGUACACAGACACACAUGCAGACAAAACACCCAUACACAUAAGAAAGAAAAUUAAAUAAAUACUAGAAAUGAGUCUUUAGGGUUUCUAUUUAGCUCUGUGGUAGAGUGCCUGCUGAGAAUGCACAAGCUCCUGGGUGAGGUCUCCGUCUAACUGGUUUUGUUGUGGAGACAGGGUCUCAAAUCUGAGAUUGUUUAUAGCCCAGUCUGUCCUUGCACUUGAAUCCUCUUGCUUCAGCCUCCCAAAUGCUGAGGUUUCAAGUAAGUGCUACUUAUGUCUCAGCCCCAAACCCCAAAAGCUACGAGGUCCGUUCUGAGUGGGGGAGCAUGGACUUGGAAACUCCUAGUAACCCAACGGUGAUAAAGACCAGACAUAGGCAUCUUGUCAUCUUUAAAGAGCUCUCAGUUCCAUGCUGCAAAACUGGAGUCUCUUCUUUAUUCAUCAUUUUUCUGGCUGUUUUCCUAACCAUGCUUCCCUGGCCAUGAGGCCAUUUCUCUCUCCUCCAGUCGACCCCCCUGCCAGCUAUCUCCUAAUUCUCUCCUCACUUGUCCUGUACACCUAGCCCUCUGCCCUGGUGCAGGCCUAUUCAACUGCUUAGUUCUGUAGAGACACAAACUAGGAGGCAUUCUCCACUGAGGCUAUGCCAUUCAAUAGCAGAUUAGCUAGCAUCUGCAAUACAAUUGUAGACCAGAGCUUCCUGUUACUGGAACUGGAGGUUUGGACCUUGAGAUAUUCCCUAAUGGAAUUUUCCUGGCUCCUGACAACGUGUGUGUGUGUGUGUGUGUGUGUGUGUGUGUGUGUGUGUGUGUGUGUAAGUCGGGUUCUCCUGUAGUAGCCCAGAGUGCCCACAUAUUCGAUGACAAUAUCAGUAACCCUGUAUUUAUAAACUCACUUGUUCAGGGAAACACAGAGGUUACCCAAGGUUAUAGAUAUGUCUACAAGUUUAUAGAUACUGCUAUAAGAACUUAGAGCAGCUGCCUUCUGCCCCUCAGGGUCUAGUAAUCAGGGCUGGUAUGACCCUGGUCCAUGUGGCAUCUCUCUGCUUCUCUUCUAGCACCUUCACCCUUUGGAUUCUACUGGUUGAUUUCUUUCCCUGUUUCCUGUUCAAAGUCUGUAUUGGCAUCAAUUUGGCCUUACCAUUAUCUAGGCUGGGGAAGAGAUUUUCCACAGCCAUGCCCCCUGUUAGGGGAAGUAAGGAUGAGAAAGUGACUCUGGAGAGUUUCUUUACAAGGAUGUGUUGGGAGCACUAUAAUAUGGCUCCUAGAGACACUGAGCAGGACUGUUCCCCGGCUACUAAACUAGUGACAUGUGAUCACUGGACAUGAUAAGCAGGAAGUAGCAAAUUAUUUAGAUGUCAUAACAGUUGGCCUGCCUGCCAUCCUCAAGAGUAGAAAGUGGGUUUUAUUCAAAUGUCUUAAUUGCUCUCCUUAUACAGUUACAAGAGGAAUGAAUCAUUCUGUGGGCAGAAGGUGUGGCUGGUUGGUAUCUGUGCCUAGAAGUUCGAGUGUGCUUGAAUUAAAGGUGGGGGCCUGCUUAGUUAAUUACUAACUCAGCAGACUUGAGAUCUCUCCAGCUAAAGGAACACACACUUCAGUUGGCCUCACCCACCUUUACCCUAACUGUUAGCACAUCUCAGCCUUGGGAAAGCUCUGUGGGAUUGGUACCAGUGAUGCCCAAGGAUGGUUUUAUAUCUGCCUACCCCAGAAUCAGCAGCGACCUCACAACCAGAUGACUCCUGGCAUUCUGGGAAAGGGGAAUUUGGGUUGUGAAUUUUUACAGUUACUCGGUGUGCAGCUCUUUUAGCGUUUGCCAUCACCACCAUCAUCGUCACCACCACCACAAUCACUAUCCCAUCUCACCAUCAUCACCACCAUCACCACCACCAUCAUCACCACCAUCAUCACCAUCAUCAUCUUUCAAUGUCCAGUUAGGUCAUCUGAUUUUUUUGAAUCUUGUUUUCUUUUUCUUUUAUUUUGAUCUAAUUUGGAAACUUAAUAAGCAAUUCCUGCCAAACCUGCCCUUAAAAUAACAUUUUUCUAUGGUACUUGAUUGAAUUAUUGGGCAAAAAUAAUUAGAAUUUUUUCUCUUAGUGUCACUGGGAGUUUGGUAGACGAAAUGAAUACUGUCCAACUUUUUAAAAAAAGAUCUCCCUUAUUAUUAGUUUAUUGUUUAUUUAUUAGGUUAUCUUUGUGUUUGGGGCAUUGUGGGGCUGCUUCCAUCUUAAGGAAAACAUUUUGAAUGUGACUGUGAUUGGUAAUCAAAUUUAUUUUUACUGAAUAGCAUUGUAUCAGUAAUUAAAAAUACAUACUCUCUAAGUCUUUGGGUUAGAGCAGAAAUCUCAUUUUUUUUUUCUGUCUGUGUUGUAUAGUAUCAAUCGUUCUUCUGUUCUAAGACCCAAAUUGAUGGUGUACUUGUUAAUGCACCAAAUGGCCUGUGACUUGGAUUUGUGUUAUCCUUCAUUUUAGAAAGCCAUUGACUGGAAAUCCCCAAAGAAGCCAUUAGGCCUUUUCUAACUUGAAAGUAAAGACUAGAUCUACGUCUGUAAAGUUUGCAUAAUAUGGAUUAUUUUUAAAAACUGUAAUCUACAUGUUAUAGAUUAUGCUCUGUUUGAAUUAUAUAUGUAAAGUGUGUGUGUCUGUGUUGCACUCACUUAGUGCUCUCUAUAUUUGACCAUUUGUAUCGUGAUUGUUCAGUUUCAUGCUUAAAAAUAAUAAGAAACGUUUUAUUCUAUGUACUUUAAUUUUUAUUUUGAAUUAAGUGUAAUUUUGACCCAUGAACAAAUCACCAUGCCAUCCUGAAUAAGACAAAUGCCUCUCACCUUAGUUCAGAAUAGCGUGAAUUUUAAUGCCCAUUUUUGUUAUGUUCAGGUUGUAAGUAACCUUAUAGUAAAGGUAGCCUUAUGUGGAAAGCCUUAUUGCAAAGAUAUUGGAGAACUUAAAAUAUUUUUUCUAGAAUUCUUACUUGGCUAUUUGGGGGCAUAUAAAAGAACAUUUGGAAGAGUUCUCUUUGAGUUAUGUGUGGGAUAUGGCCAUGAAUGUCUCUACAGUUUGAUGUUUGUGUUUAUGCUGUGUAUGCUGUACCUCAGUUUCCUGGUUGGCACUGUUACAUGAUAAAGUCCAUCAGUGGAUAAAUUGCUGUGUGUCAGAGACAGAGACAGAGACAGAGACAGAGAGACUGACUUGCCUUAAAAUAGAGCAGCCUUGUAUGGUCAUAUAGACUUUCCUGUGACUCAUAUUUCUGUGUACCUCAUGAGUCAGCUGUGACAGAAUCCAUGCAUGCAAGAAAGAAUAGCUUGUCUUACUGUGGAUAAUCUAAACCUGAGUUAAAAAGUAUUUCACCAUGUAAAGAUGUUAUGGAAGACAGCAGUAUAUGUGUGCUUUUGGCUUUUCUUGUUAAAAGACAACACAUGGUCAAGCAAGUUAAAGGAGGUAUUGGUUUUAACCAUUCUUUUUAUUGAUCUUUUUCUCAAUGGCAGGAGUUGUGCUAUUUCACUUGCUAUUUCCACUGCUAACAGUCACCAUUAAUGGUCACUGCAUAUAUUACAGGGGUCAGAUGCUCUGUGCCAACCAGUACAGAAGAUAAUACAAAGGGUAGAGGGGUAUAUUUUAGUUUGGGAUUUAAGGUCAUUACAUUGUAUGAUCAAGUCUUGGAGAAAUGAUGGUUCAUGGCCAUAGCUUUUGUCAUCUAAUAAAAGUCUUUAAAUCAGUUCUGUCUGUGAUUGCUUCUACCUUAAUACAGACGUAGUAAAGUGUGUGUUCAUUUCGGUCCCAGCUUUUCUCGGCUGUAUUACAUAUGUAUUUGUGUCAGACUUUUGAUAGUCCCUGGAAAUGUACAUCACAUACUUAACUCAUGGUUGAAGUUUUUUUGGCCUCUUCGGUCCUUAAGGAGAUAAUAUUUUAUUAAGCAUUAACUUUGUUAUAAUGUAAACAUGUUGUAUGCACAUCUGCAAAACCAGAUUUGUACAGCUGGAACAUCUGAAGAAUUAAUAAAUCUUGACUUUGAGGCCCAGCCCUCG
rnacentral:lncRNA from 1 species